UUUCUCUUUAACCAUAAACCCCUAAUUUUGGUUCUUUUUAUUUAAUUUUAAAUUCUACAGUUUAUUUUCGGCAAAGUUCUAUUGAAGUCAAUUUUAGUUUUAAAACUUACUUCGUGUUGUUAGUUGUGAUUUUGUAGCUAAAUGCAGUUUAAUUUUCAAGUACAAUAGAGCAUGAGAACCUCGGGGAGUAAUUGGUUGUUGAAAUUGUUAUUUCCGACUUGAAAUUAGGGAUUUGAAUGGAAAGAGGAAUUCUUUAUGCCUGUGGUAAUUUCUGAAGCUUCUAUAGUGAAUUAGGGGUGAUUCUGCUUGUUGAAUGAGUUUUUCUGUGGUAUCUUCAGGUUGAUUUGUAAGGAAGUAUGUGUAACUUAUUUCUGCCACCUAUUUAUUUCCGGAAUUGAGCAUAACUCCUAGAAUAGUUAGCGAAAGUCAAUGAUCGUUAUCAAUUGUAGAUUUCUCUGAGGAGGUUAUAGUCAGAAAUCAAAACGAGAAUGGUGGUUUAUGUGGGUUAUGAAUGUUUACUGGAAAGAAAACGGAGACACAUGGAUGCUUUGUGUAUUAAAGAAAUGUAUGAUAUAGUUUAACAGCUGGAGUUUCUUUUUGUUGUUUGAUAUUGCAGAUGGAAAUAGGUGAUCAUAUUAAUUAAAAGUCUUCAAACUAGUCUGAAGCAUUGCCUACCCACUAUUACAUAAUUAUCUUUUGUAGGAGAAAUUGAUAAAUCUUCCUUAAGUAGUUUCAAGAACAAUAGGGGAGGGGUCAAUAAUAUGGAGUUUGAUGCAUAUGAUUACAAUUAAUCUUGCUUCCUUGGCAAACUCUCUGCCACUUUGUUUGCCUCCCUUCCUGUGCAUUGAUUUAGUUAAUGAAAACUACAGUUUAAUUUUACAAUCAAGUGAUAUUCAAUUGCAACCUCUUUCCACUGAAAUCUUUGGCAAAUACUACGUAGGAAAUUAUGUAGCGGAUAAAAAAGGGAAUAUUUUCCUGGUAUGGAGUACAAAUCAUGCUUCUGUUUUCUUGUGUACUUCUCCUUCCUAUAGCUUCAUUUAUCACUUGUGGAAGUCAUCUAGGAGUGAUUCUAGGUAUUAAAGCACUAGAGUUUUUUUUUACACUGCCAUUGGGAAUUUGCAGACCAUUGUCACUUCUCACCUUGAAUUUCUAUUACCUAGAAGGCCGCUCCUGAAAAUUGGUGAUCAACUAUAUUUUCACUUGCUUUAGUAUAGUAGUUAUUCAUGAUAGUUGAAACUGCCAUUGAAUGGUUUAGUUUUUCAUCGUAUGCUAUUAGAAGGAACACUGAAUCUGGUUUUCAUGUAGAUGAACAAGGAGCUUAUUUAUUUUAAUAGCAAAUGUAGAAAAGAGGAAUCUUGACCUUUAGACAUCUAGAAUAGAGGAGAUAUUGAACAUAGGGGAUGAAAUAUGGUUAUUUUCUUCUCCAGUUCUCCUUCUAAUUACAUUGGAGGCAAUAGUCCAGUACCUUCUGGAUAGAUGUUCAUCUGCCCUUUACCAUGUAUGUAAUCCGUCCACAACUUUAUGGAGUUGUUUUUCUCUUGUUUGCCUUGUGAUUAUGAAAACAUCAUCUCCACUUGUCUUCUUUUAGGAGCAUUGUAAUUCGGGUUUGAUGUUUUUUGUCAUACUCGCAUUGUUCUGAUAGUGAAGAAAGUAUGCCUUUUAAUUUGGGGUGGGUGGGGGCCGUGGGGCUUGUAUUAUUUAAUCAGGUUUUGGAGAUUUUCAUUAUUUCUCUUGUGUUCUAGCAUAAAUAUCCACUAAGGUUAGUGCAAGGACUAAGUUCCGUAUACUAUACCGUUUGUCCCUAAACUAAUAAGGGGAUAAAAGGUGGCCAUUGUUCUUAGUUUGAUUAGCAUGUUAUUUUAUUUAUCUAAUUAGAGAGUAUAAUUAUAUAUGGAUAAGCAUCUGCAAGUUUUGUUCAACCUUCCACCGUUCCACUACUUCUUUAAUCUGCAAGACUCUUUAACUGAUUCUUUUCCGGGUUCCAUUGUUAUGUUAUUUAGGCUGUUGUAAAAUGUAAAUGUAAAAUAAUGAGGUUGAGUUUGUUUCAUGGCCAUGCUACCUUGGUUACUGUAUAUCUUCGUGUCUCUUCGACUUGCUCAUCUGGAGAGCCAUUGAGAAAUAGAUGAUUGACGAUUAGCUGUUUGUUUUGAGACAAAACAGCUGCAGACUAAUGCUGAUUGUUUGCCAUGCAUUGUGGGUUAAAAUGCAAAAUAUUGAUGAGAAACAGGGGUGAAAUACUUAGAUGCAGUACCUCAAUUGGAAUGGGAGGUGGGGAGAGGGAUGAGGGAGCUUCCAUUUCCUUCCAACAAUGGAGGGAUUUGAUUUAUUACAAGGGGAAGGAAAAGGGAUCCCUCGAAUUCUCUUCCUUUCCCUUCCGCUAUGUCUUGUCCAAACACAAGGGAAAAUGUAUCCUCCCUUUCUCUUCCCUUCCUUCCCUACAAAAUUCCCUAUCCAAACUUAGUAUUUUUAGCCAUUACCUUUUACAAGUACCUCAAGAUAAUUGUCAACUUGUUGAACUUAAGUGAUGCAUAGUUGUGCAGCUUACGUUUGUGGCUUUCUCUAUGUUAGCCAAUUGUCAACUUGUUGAACCUGAGUGUUCCAUAGUUGUGCAGCUUACAUUCGUGGCUCCUAUAUUUCUAGCUGUGUCUAUGUUACCCCCCCCCCCCUCCCUCCCUCCCUCUCUGUGUUGUGUUUCACUUGGGGAGGGGAGCACUGGCCUUGACUUAGUUCUGUUUUGGAAUUAUCUUAGUAAAAUGGUUGUGUGCUUUGCAGCAAAGUUUACCGGUUUUUCAGAGGUGUUCUUUAAUAUGUAUUCUGAAAUCCAAAUUUAUGCCUGAAUUGAUUGAUGCUCUGUAGAAUUUCAGGUGAAAUACACAUAUGUGCUUGUCCAUUGCCGCCGGCCCACCCCACCCCACCCC